rfam:Spinacia oleracea cultivar SynViroflay scaffold11696.con0001.1, whole genome shotgun sequence.
CAUCCCUAUGAAGAAUGACUUAUGUCCAAAAUAUUAAAGUAGUGGACUGAUAUAUACAUGAUGAACAAAAGUAUUCUGAGGGAUU